AUUGUGGUAAUAAGAGAUGAAAUAAGGGUUUUCCAGUGGCAUUCUUACUAAGUAACAGAUUAGAUCAAUUAAUUCAAGAGGUUUUUUUAGGGCACUUAAAACUAGAUUAGAAGAAGCAGUUCAAGCUGAAUUUAUAAUAAGUGAUGACAAUCCAAAAUAUUACAAUGGCUAUGGAUGCAGGUAUAGAACAUAAACCAAGAAGAUUACUUUGUACCUGGCAUAUGGUGAAAAAUUGGAACAUACAAGGAAGGUCUAAAAUCAAGAAGUUAGAAAACAGACAGAUAAUGAAACAUGAAAUGAGGAAAAUUUUAAAGGAGACUGAUCCACAAAAAUUUAUACAGCUUAUUUAUUAAUUAAUUAUUAUAAUUAAUUAUUUGUGCUGAAAGAGAACUAUUUUAGGCAAUUAGAAGAAGAAGAGGAAACUAAUUUUCAGAAUUACCUGAAAAAGUACUACUUCCAAAGUCAAGAGAGAAUAAUGAUGUGGACGCAUUGUUAUAGAAUCAAUACCGAAAUUAAUACAAAUAUGGCAAUUGAAAGCUUAAAUAAAGUACAACAAGAUGAAUGGAAAGCAUUAUAUUAAGAUUGAAAAACUGUUGGAUUUACUGGAUGAACUUGUUGAUGAAAGAAUGUGGAAAAGGAUUUCUUUACAUUUGAAAUACGCGCCUUAAUUAUCUGAGCCAAUCACAGACAAAGCGCCAUGAUUGGCCCGCAUGGGUGCGGAAAUUAUUGUAUCCUGUCAAGAACAACCGACGACGGUCGUAACUUGACUCGGCGCGAGCCGCGAGGAAAAAUGAUAAAACGGAUUUUAGGUUUGAUUUGGGUUCGUACCCGCACAAUCACACUGCUUCCAAUGUACGUGUGUAGUGGACUGUAUUAUUAUAAGGACACUAAUUUUAACCGUUUUUUUUUAAUUUUAUAUUAGUUUAAUUUACAAAUAAUGAAUAAACCGAUUAAAAAGCCGCAAUAGACAUUUAAAAUAUGUGGAACCCGGGGUCGAACCCAAACUCGACAUUCUAAAAAGAAUGGUGCAAAACAACAACUAGUAAAAAAAAUUGGUAAAAAUUCAAAAAUAACAAUAAAAAAGUUAAAAAAAUACUACAACAGAUGUUGCGAAAUCAAUUUCUCAACACAGACAAAUUAAAUUUGUCUCAAAGAAUAACUAUAGUCUACAAAAACUCUCCGAUACCUGGAAUUGGUGUCUGAGUCUGUCUUGCCCCGAUAAAGCCGUGGCGACACGAAAUUUACCCCGCACCACUCCCAGUAUGACGAUAAAUGCAAACCAGGCAAGAUCUCUGCUCCGUCCAGCCAGCCACGUAAAAUCAAAAACCCAAAACAUCGAAGUCGAUGUUAAUUUUGUUUCACAUAAGUUGAUCUUAAAGAGUUAGUUAACAGUUUGUGUCUUUUGACGGAAAUGGUGCAAACCUUUCCCGUCCAUAUCUUUAAAUGGGAAAGACCUGUUUCCUGUAUUUAAUAAUUUAAAUAAAAAGCAAAUUUAUGUUGCCUUUUAGUUUAAAGCAGAUUAUUUUGUGGGCGCUUCGUAAGAAUAUAAAGUUGUGAACAGAAAAGUCAUAAUUUAUGACAUUUUCCGUAAACAUUUUUAAAUAACUAGUGAGGAGGCUGUUACUGAACCGAGGACAAGACUAUUGAACAUUUUGUGGAAGCGUAGAGUGUGGAAGCAGCAGUGUAUUGGAUUUUGUUUUUCUGUGUCUUCACAUAGAAACAAGGUACCUUUGUAAUUUUAACUUGUGUGUUUUAUUUUAAACAAUAAUAAUUAUUGUUCCGCUAUUUGUAUUAACCCAUUUACGCCUACCGUCCUUUUGAAAGGAUUUCAAAAAGAAACCUGUAUUUUUCUGAUUCAGCUGACGUUUGAAGAUGUCGCCAGUUCACAUUAUAUUUAGUUAACAUCUUAAACAAGGUCAAUCGCGAUCGUUAGGAUUUUGUUAAUUUUUGGAUCGAUAGUGACGAAUAAAACACGCUGUGUUUCUAGUGAUUUUGCAAUGAGUGACUCAAGGUAAGAUAUGUUAAAACUCGUUUAUUUUUUCGUUCUUAUUUUAAUUGUUUUUAACAAAUAACAUAACAUACUGACCUUUUUAUAUAUUUGUGGUUAUGUUUCAAACUUCUUGAUCAAUCCAGGAGCGUUCAGUUAAACGAGUCCUUUUAAAAGGACGGUAGAAUUAUAUACUACUAUGUGGUUUUUUACAGGUAUUGGAAAAAGCCACUAACCAUGGCAGAAAUCUUAGAGGAAUUGGAGA